AGACUAGAGUACAGCAGAGGGACGUGGAAUUCCCGGAGUAGCGGUGAAAUGCGCAGAUAUCGGGAAGAACACCGGUGGCGAAGGCGAGGUCCUGGCCAGGGACUGACGCUGAGGCGCGAAAGCUAGGGGAGCGAACAGGAUUAGAGACCCUGGUAGUCCUAGCCCUAAACGAUGGAUGCUAGGUGUGGGACGUAAAGUUCCGUGCCGGAGCCAACGCGAUAAGCAUCCCGCCUGGGGACUACGGUCGCAAGGCUAAAACUCAAACGAAUUGACGGGGACCCGCACAAGCAGCGGAGCGUGUGGUUCAAUUCGAUGCUACACGAAGAACCUUACCUGGGUUUGACAUGUACGUGGUAGAGAAGCGAAAGCGGAUUGACCCUUCGGGGAGCGUACACAGGUGCUGCAUGGCUGUCGUCAGCUCGUGCCGUGAGGUGUCGGGUUAAGUCCCGUAACGAGCGCAACCCUUAUCCUUAGUUGCACGUAUCUAGGGAGACUGCCGGCGGGAAGCCGGAGGAAGGUGGGGAUGACGUCAAGUCAGCAUGGCCCUUAUGUCCAGGGCUACACACACGCUACAAUGGCCGGUACAAAGGGCAGCAAAGUCGCGAGGCGGAGCGAAUCCCAACAAAGCCGGUCGUAGUUCGGAUUGCAGGCUGCAACUCGCCUGCAUGAAGCUGGAGUUGCUAGUAACCGCGCGUCAGCUAUAGUGCGGUGAAUACGUACCCGGGUCUUGUACACACCGCCCGUCACGUCAUGGAAGUCGGUAACGCCUGAAGGCGGUAGCCUAGCUCGGAAGAGGGGGCGCUGUCGAAGGCGGGACUGGCAACUGGGACGAAGUCGUA
rnacentral:rRNA from 1 species